AGCGAACGCUGGCGGCAGGCCUAACACAUGCAAGUCGAACGAAGUCUUCAGACUUAGUGGCGGACGGGUGAGUAACACGUGGGAACGUACCUUUUGGUUCGGAACAACUCAGGGAAACUUGAGCUAAUACCGGAUGAGCCCUUAGGGGGAAAGAUUUAUCGCCGAAAGAGCGGCCCGCGUUAGAUUAGCUAGUUGGUGAGGUGAAGGCUCACCAAGGCUACGAUCUAUAGCUGGUCUGAGAGGAUGAUCAGCCACACUGGGACUGAGACACGGCCCAGACUCCUACGGGAGGCAGCAGUGGGGAAUCUUGCGCAAUGGGCGAAAGCCUGACGCAGCCAUGCCGCGUGAAUGAUGAAGGUCUUAGGAUUGUAAAAUUCUUUUACCAGGGACGAUAAUGACGGUACCUGGGGAAAAAGCCCCGGCUAACUUCGUGCCAGCAGCCGCCGUAACAC
rnacentral:rRNA from 1 species